CUCUGUUCAACCUAAAGGCGCAAUGAAAGUAAAGGUCCGCCUCGCGCGGACCGAGGGAGGAUGGGCCCGUCCCCGGGCGGGCCCCGCACUCCCGGGGCGUCUCGUUCUCAUCGCGAGAAGAGGCGCACCCAGAGCGUACACGCUGGGACCCGAAAGAUGGUGAACUAUGCCUGGUCAGGACGAAGUCAGGGGAAACCCUGAUGGAGGUCCGUAGCGAUUCUGACGUGCAAAUCGAUCGUCGGAACUGGGUAUAGG
rnacentral:rRNA from 1 species